AGAGUUUGAUCCUGGCUCAGGACGAACGCUGGCGGCGUGCUUAACACAUGCAAGUCGAACGGGGUUAAUGUUUUCGGAUAUUAACUUAGUGGCGAACGGGUGAGUAACGCGUGAGGAACCUGCCUUUCAGUGGGGGACAACAGUUGGAAACGACUGCUAAUACCGCAUGAUACUAUUGAGGGACAUCCCUUGAUAGUCAAAGCUUUAUGUGCUGAAAGAUGGCCUCGCGUCUGAUUAGCUAGUUGGAGGGGUAACGGCCCACCAAGGCGACGAUCAGUAGCCGGACUGAGAGGUUGACCGGCCACAUUGGGACUGAGAUACGGCCCAGACUCCUACGGGAGGCAGCAGUGGGGAAUAUUGGGCAAUGGGCGCAAGCCUGACCCAGCAACGCCGCGUGAAGGAAGAAGGCUUUCGGGUUGUAAACUUCUUUUAGCAGGGACGAAGAACGUGACGGUACCUGCAGAAAAAGCAACGGCUAACUACGUGCCAGCAGCCGCGGUAAUACGUAGGUUGCAAGCGUUGUCCGGAAUUACUGGGUGUAAAGGGCGUGUAGGCGGAGAUGCAAGUUGGGAGUGAAAUCCAUGGGCUCAACCCAUGAACUGCUUUCAAAACUGCAUCCCUUGAGUAUCGGAGAGGCAAGCGGAAUUCCUAGUGUAGCGGUGAAAUGCGUAGAUAUUAGGAGGAACACCAGUGGCGAAGGCGGCUUGCUGGACGACAACUGACGCUGAGGCGCGAAAGCGUGGGGAGCAAACAGGAUUAGAUACCCUGGUAGUCCACGCUGUAAACGAUGAAUACUAGGUGUGGGAGGACUGACCCCUUCCGUGCCGCAGUUAACACAAUAAGUAUUCCACCUGGGGAGUACGACCGCAAGGUUGAAACUCAAAGGAAUUGACGGGGGCCCGCACAAGCAGUGGAUUAUGUGGUUUAAUUCGAAGCAACGCGAAGAACCUUACCUGGUCUUGACAUCUGGAUGACCGGUCCUUAACCGGACCUUCUCUUCGGAGCAUCCAAGACAGGUGGUGCAUGGUUGUCGUCAGCUCGUGUCGUGAGAUGUUGGGUUAAGUCCCGCAACGAGCGCAACCCUUAUCUUUAGUAGCCAGCGGUUUGGCCGGGCACUCUAGAGAGACUGCCAGGGAUAACCUGGAGGAAGGUGGGGAUGACGUCAAAUCAUCAUGCCCCUUAUGAUCAGGGCUACACACGUGCUACAAUGGCGUAAACAAAGGGAAGCAGAGCCGCGAGGCCGAGCAAAUCUCAAAAAUAACGUCUCAGUUCGGAUUGUAGUCUGCAACUCGACUACAUGAAGCUGGAAUCACUAGUAAUCGCGAAUCAGAAUGUCGCGGUGAAUACGUUCCCGGGUCUUGUACUCACCGCCCGUCA
rnacentral:rRNA from 1 species